GUAGGUGGCAAGCGUUGUCCGGAAUUAUUGGGCGUAAAGCGCGCGCAGGCGGUUCUUUAAGUCUGAUGUGAAAGCCCACGGCUCAACCGUGGAGGGUCAUUGGAAACUGGAGAACUUGAGUACAGAAGAGGAAGGCGGAAUUCCACGUGUAGCGGUGAAAUGCGUAGAGAUGUGGAGGAACACCAGUGGCGAAGGCGGCUUUCUGGUCUGUAACUGACGCUGAGGCGCGAAAGCGUGGGGAGCAAACAGGAUUAGAUACCCUGGUAGUCCACGCCGUAAACGAUGAGUGCUAAGUGUUAGGGGGUUUUCCGCCCCCCUUAGUGCUGCAGCUAACGCAUUAAGCACUCCGCCUGGGAGUACGGCCGCAAGGCUG
rnacentral:rRNA from 1 species